CGCCCAGCCUAAGGCCUGUCGGUCUGGUAUAUAGAGUCAGAGUCACAACAGAGACACCAUAAACAGUCAUUUCACUGUUAAAUAUACACUUACAGACGACUGCUGCUGAAGUUUAACAGCAAAGAAAAUGAAAGCCCAGAUGGUUUUCCUGCUCUUUGCUCUUGUGGUCGGGCUUAAAGCGACGUCAACUGAUUCCCCUGAGGACGAUGAAGUUAUUCCAGAGGAAGACGCCAUACAACAAAUUCUGAAUAUUCAUUUGACUGACAUGAAAAGAGACAAUGAAAACUCUGGGGGUCCGAAAGGUGAAACUUAGGUAAUUUAAUGAAAAGAUGUCAGUCGGUGAGCAAGAAAGAAAACAGCUUUGAAAACGUCCCUCGAUAUCAGCCCCAAACUAUUCCAGCCAAAAGAUGUAACAAAAUACAAUAAAUAAACACAGCAAUAAAA